rnacentral:rRNA from 1 species
UAGGGAAUCUUCGGCAAUGGACGAAAGUCUGACCGAGCAACGCCGCGUGAGUGAAGAAGGUUUUCGGAUCGUAAAACUCUGUUGGUAGAGAAGAACGUUGGNGAGAGUGGAAAGCUCAUCAAGUGACGGUAACUACCCAGAAAGGGACGGCUAACUACGUGCUAG